rnacentral:rRNA from 1 species
AUGGUAAGAUCAUGCUAUGUCCCGAAACUCGAUGAAGGCGACGACGACGGUGGUGUCGUCCUUCUUCCCUCUGAAUUUAUUCCGUCCGUGUUCCCGGGCGGCGAUGCUGAACGGCGUGUCCUGGGUACGCCUUGCCGCGGCGUAAGCUUGGCUGGCGAUGAUGUCGGCCAUGUUUUUGGGCGUGAAGCUGAGCGCCAGGCCCGACUGCACGAUCUUCUCCAGCAUCACGUCGAACACGUUGUCGAAGAGCCCGUCGGACGCGACCACCACCACGUCGCCUUCCUCCACGGCGAUCUCGCCCACCGCCGCGUCGCUGACCUUGUUGCUCUCCUCGGAGUCGGAGCUGAGCUGGAACGGGCAGUUGAAAUAGGAUUGCUGCGGCUGCGACCGGUGCAGGAUCCGGCCGUCGCGGAACACGGCGAAGCCGCUGUCGCCGACGUACGCCCACCUGAGGGCCCUGCCGGCGAGCGACACGAUGACGGCCGUGGACGCAGCCGGCGUGCCAGAUGCGACCGUCUGCUGGUACGCCUUCUCCAGCAGCGCGUAGGGGCAGAUGCCGCCGGGCGGCGGCGGCGCGGCGGCGGAGGACGCCACGACCUCCGACAGGGCGCUCGCCAUGAGCCCGCGCGAGAACGCGGCGGCGUCCACGCCCUCCAAGCGGCAUCCCCCGACGCCGUCCGCGACGCCGAUGACGCCGGCCACGGCGUGGAAGAAGUGCGCGUCCUCGUCGUGCUCCGGCAGGUAGCACGACGCGGCUCUCAUCCUCAGCGCCGCGCCCGUGGGGGGGUUACUCCGCCGCGCGCGCGGCUGCAGCUGCCGCGCCAGGUAGGCGGCGUACCUCGCGACGUCCUCGCGGCCGGCGGCGGCGGAGGGCGGCAGGCUCCCGAGGCGGAUGCCCACGGCGAUCCGGAGGGCCGCGGGGGUCCGACUGCUGAUCUCGCUUAG